rnacentral:rRNA from 1 species
GACGAACGCUGGCGGCGUGCUUAACACAUGCAAGUCGAACGGAAAGGCCCUGCUUUUGUGGGGUGCUCGAGUGGCGAACGGGUGAGUAACACGUGAGUAACCUGCCCUUGACUUUGGGAUAACUUCAGGAAACUGGGGCUAAUACCGGAUAGGAGCUCCUGCUGCAUGGUGGGGGUUGGAAAGUUUCGGCGGGUGGGGAUGGACUCGCGGCUUAUCAGCUUGUUGGUGGGGUAGUGGCUUACCAAGGCUUUGACGGGUAGCCGGCCUGAGAGGGUGACCGGCCACAUUGGGACUGAGAUACGGCCCAGACUCCUACGGGAGGCAGCAGUGGGGAAUAUUGCACAAUGGGCGGAAGCCUGAUGCAGAAACGCCGCGUGCGGGAUGACGGCUUUCGGGUUGUAAACCGCUUUAGCCUGUGACGAAGCGUGAGUGACGGUAAUGGGUAAAGAAGCACCGGCUAACUACGUG